rnacentral:lncRNA from 1 species
AUGCCUGAAAACAGCUCCUUCACCAACUGCUGCGAAGGCGGCGGGCUGGCCCUGAGCCCGGGCUUACCGGGGAUGAGCAGCACGCUGCCCUCCGGAACUCCCCGGCCCCCCUGGGUGGCCCCCUCGCUAGCUACCGUGCUCAUUGUCACCACCGCUGUGGACGUCGUGGGCAACCUCCUGGUCAUUCUCUCCGUGCUCACGUACCGCAGGCUCCGGAACGCAGGUGAGCGCCACGCUCGCUGCUGGGGUCCAGUCCUUCCCUGCAGUCAGGUCUUGGCCCCCGACCGGGUGAUCGCCGCCUUUUCUCUCCUCAGACUCCAGCGCCGGUUCCUUUCCACUCUCACCUCAUCCCUAACUUUGAUUCCACGCUCAGAAGUUCCAGCUUUCGUGUCACCCUGUGCUGUCUCCAAGACUGCACCCACCCUACUGUACUGUUGCUCUUUUGUCUCUUUUCUCACUGAACUAAAUAAAAGAGACUUUUAUUCCACUGCUGCUCACGGAGCCAGAAGCACGGUAGGAACUGAAGGCACCUCUGUAGAAACAAGGAGAAUACAGAUGGACAAGGUACCUGGAAAGAGGCAGAGCAGGAAUGAUUAAUGUAGCUUUCUGAGGUGGGGCAGAGCGCAGUGUUAGUGCUCAGCACAUAAGCCCAAAGUAUACCUCACUUUUGUCCUUAAGAGCUAACCCUGGGGAUCUUCUUCACAAAGGUGUACCUGCUCCCUGACUAUUCCCAAAUGGUUAGAGUUUUUAACAAGUUCCAGCUAGACCACAGUUCUCUGAAACUGAGCCCUU